GUGAGGAAUAUUGCGCAAUGGACGAAAGUCUGACGCAGCCAUGCCGCGUGAAGGAUUGACGGCCCUAUGGGUUGUAAACUUCUUUUGUAUAGGAAUAAACCCUCGUUCGUGAACGAGGCUGAAGGUACUAUAAGAAUAAGCACCGGCUAACUCCGUGCCAGCAGCCGCGGUAAUACGGAGGGUGCAAGCGUUAUCCGGAUUUAUUGGGUUUAAAGGGUCCGUAGGCGGAUCGUUAAGUCAGUGGUGAAAUCCUACCGCUCAACGGUAGAACUGCCAUUGAUACUGGCGAUCUUGAGUAUGUAUGAAGUUGGCGGAAUGUGUGGUGUAGCGGUGAAAUGCUUAGAUAUCACACAGAACACCGAUUGCGAAGGCAGCUGACUAAUACACAACUGACGCUGAGGGACGAAAGUGUGGGGAUCAAACAGGAUUAGAAACCCUUGUGUCC
rnacentral:rRNA from 1 species